UCUGCAAAAAAAAAAAAACCACAAAUAACAGCAAACUAUAAAUCUGUAAUAAAAAAUCUAAGGAAAAGAACUAAGCUAAAUAACAAAUCAUCAAUUGGUUGAGACAACAUAACGUUCCUGGGGUUUUUGAAUGGGUUUGGAGUCCAUUUACUUUCUUCAUGGGUUACACUGACCCAGCAAAACCACAGUUGCCUCUCUUGUAUGAGUGGCAUUUCUGGUCUUAGAGAGCUAGAACCCUAAGGAUCGGUCUUAGAGAACCAGAACGCACCGACAAAGCCGGAACCUAAGGACCGGUCUUAGAGAGCCAGAACGGACCGACAACGCCGGAAUCAUGUCGGCGGGUAAUAAGUACAACAACAACAAGACCAAGAAACAUAAACACAAGAUUAAAGGUCUUACAGAUGAUAGAGACCGAGCAGACGGAGAGAGACCAAGAGGCGAACGAUGGCGGAAACAGAGGAGAAGCGAGCUGAAUGACGGAGACGAAGAAACGACGGAGCAGAGCCGAACGACGGAGACCGAGUAGAGCCGAACGACAGAGACAGAGCAGACGGAGAGAGACCGAGAUGCGAACGAUGGCGGAGACAGAGGAGAAGCGAGCCGAACGACGGAGACGAAGAAACGACGGAGCAGAGCCGAGCCGACCGACGUAGAAGCUGAGAGAGACUGAGAGCGAGAGAGUUGUCCUGAAGAACGAAGAGAUCUGUUCUGAAGACAGUGAAGAGGAGGCGCAGAGGCAGGCCACGAUUCGUCAGAGAGAAAGUUAGGGUGAAUUAGGGUUAGGGGUAGUUUUUGUAAAUAUAUUAAAUAUCAAGGGUAUUUUUGUAA